GACUUAAGCAUAUCAAUAAGCGGAGGAAAAGAAACCAACAGGGAUUGCCCUAGUAACGGCGAGUGAAGCGGCAACAGCUCAAAUUUGAAAUCUGGCUCUUUCAGGGUCCGAGUUGUAAUUUGCAGAGGGCGCUUUGGCUUUGGCAGCGGUCCAAGUUCCUUGGAACAGGACGUCACAGAGGGUGAGAAUCCCGUACGUGGUCGCUAGCUAUUGCCGUGUAAAGCCCCUUCGACGAGUCGAGUUGUUUGGGAAUGCAGCUCUAAAUGGGAGGUAAAUUUCUUCUAAAGCUAAAUACUGGCCAGAGACCGAUAGCGCACAAGUAGAGUGAUCGAAAGAUGAAAAGCACUUUGGAAAGAGAGUCAAACAGCACGUGAAAUUGUUGAAAGGGAAGCGCUUGCAGCCAGACUUGCUUGCAGUUGCUCAUCCGGGCUUUUGCCCGGUGCACUCUUCUGCAGGCAGGCCAGCAUCAGUUUGGGCGGUGGGAUAAAGGUCUCUGUCACGUACCUCUCUUCGGGGAGGCCUUAUAGGGGAGACGACAUACCACCAGCCUGGACUGAGGUCCGCGCAUUCGCUAGGAUGCUGGCGUAAUGGCUGUAAGCGGCCCGUCUUGAAACACGGACCAAGGAGUCUAACAUCUAUGCGAGUGUUUGGGUGUCAAGCCCGAACGCGUAAUGAAAGUGAACGGAGGUGGGAACCCGCAAGGGUGCACCAUCGACCGAUCCUGAUGUCUUCGGAAGGAUUUGAGUAAGAGCAUGGCUGUUGGGACCCGAAAGAUGGUGAACUAUGCUUGAAUAGGGUGAAGCCAGAGGAAACUCUGGUGGAGGCUCGCAGCGGUUCUGACGUGCAAAUCGAUCGUCAAAUUUGGGCAUAGGGGCGAAAGACU
rnacentral:rRNA from 1 species